rnacentral:rRNA from 1 species
UACGUAGGGCGCAAGCGUUGUCCGGAUUUAUUGGGCGUAAAGAGCUCGUAGGCGGUCUGUCGCGUCGGCUGUGAAAACCCGAGGCUCAACCUCGGGCCUGCAGUCGAUACGGGCAGACUAGAGUGUGGUAGGGGAGACUGGAAUUCCUGGUGUAGCGGUGAAAUGCGCAGAUAUCAGGAGGAACACCGGUGGCGAAGGCGGGUCUCUGGGCCAAUACUGACGCUGAGGAGCGAAAGCGUGGGGAGCGAACAGG